CUGGCGUGCAGUGGCACCAUCUGGGCUCAUUGCAACCUCUGCCUCCCGGGUUUGAGAAAUUCUCCUGCCUCAGUCUCCUGAGUAUCUGGGAUUACAGGCACCCGCCACCACGCCUGGCUAAUUUUUUAAAUAUUUUUAGUAGAGACAGGGUUUCACCAUGUUGACCAAGCUAGCCUCAAACUCCUGACCUCAGGUGAUCUACCCACCUUGGCUUCACAAAGUGCUGGGAUUACAGGCAUGGGCCACUUUUCUAUUUGUUUAUUUUUGUGUUGGUUUUUCUAUUUUUGGUGUUUCUGGAUCAUGGACUUUGAAAAACUUCCUGGCUUAGCAAAUUAGUGUCCUUGUUUCAGUAGCUUCUGCUUGAAGAUUUCUGCUGUAGGCAAUGAGCCAACUGGCCAGAAAAUAUCCAGUUAUGCUCUGCAGGUUCAUGGUGGAUGGGGACUUUCACUGUUGUUUAGAGAAACCAUUGAGUGGAUAACGUUCCAAACAGCAAAAUCAAAUGGGGAUUCUGUACACUCGGGAGUGUCGGCUCUGGACAAAUUAGGUUGCACUUGAUUGUAAGAAGCCAGGCUUUAUUAAAAUAGAAUAUAAAUAUUAACAGAAACGGACUGCUUCUAAUCCCCACUACCGUUGGCCAGGGAGGCCUCUCUUCAGGUUUUCUGAAUGGAACUAAAUAAGGAGCCCAUGUUACCGCGGAAAGGGCACUGUGAUUAGGAGCCUUUCAUGAGCUUCCAUGAACGUCUAGGGCUUGGAAACUUCAUUUUCAAAAUAAGGCUGUUGGAUUAGAUGAUUUUCCCAACCCCUAACCCUCUGUGUUAAUGAAUGGACUGACUCUAUAAUCAUGUUCCUUGGACAUUUCUAUGGAAACACUGAGCCAUCAUAAGGGAGGCCUUCAUUCUGAUGUAACAAAGCCAGCUGUGUCCACAUGAGAACAUUGGCAAGAGUGGGGACAUGGAAGCUGUGUUCAGGCCGGUCCACGCUGGGUGACCCAUGUGACCUGCUGCUUAGCAAUUCCUUGUCACCAUCUUCCCUUCUCAGCCUCUUUUUUCAUGCUAACAGGCAUAAAUGAAAUGAUAAAAGUUUGAGCUCUUCUCGUGGAAUUCUCGUGAUACAGAUAUGUGCUACAUGUUCAUCAUCUCGUUGGUCUUCACCAUGAUAACUGUGGAGUAAGAAUUAUAAGCAGGUCACAGAUUAGGGACUUGAGAUUGACAGUUUGGCUUCCCUGUUCUGGGUGGCAAAGCCUGUGGAGUACUCACCUACCUGCUGCAUGAAGGCAGCAUGGAGGGACUGUGGUGGAUUAUCUGCAAAGAUGGCCAAAAUUCUCUCAUCCCUGCAGGCACAUACAAGAGAAGAACUGAAGCUCAGCUCUUCACCCUACAGAAAGCCUGAAUUUUGUAAAUGUUCUGCUUAGAAUGAGGAAGAAAGAUGAAGAAUGAGGAGGAAGAAGGAAGGAACGAGAGAGAGGUUGUUGCAUGGCAUAAGUAAAGUGACAGUUAUAGGAUACAUGCAACUUUUCAGUGACAAAGAUCUGUGCAGCAUCGACAGUACUGCCUAAUGAGGUUUCACCAUAAUGAAGUAUCACAACCAGUUUACAGACCAGAAAACUGAGACACAGGAAGGGGUGGUGACUUGAGCAAGGUGCAUCAGCUGGAAAUUGAAGUAUACAGAAUGCUUAUUUGGUCUACUCAGUAUCAUCCUAAAUGUAUGUACCAAUGCUUAGGAGUUUGCAGUUCACCCGCAAACCUCAGCGAUCCAAGCUCCCCUGGAUGACCAUCACUCACCAAGAAAAGAGCAAUAACAGGACCUGUUUUGCUAAUCCAGGACUGUUCUCCAGCACUAACUCUAAAUAAUCCCUUCUGCUAGAGUCCACUUUCUGGAACCUGUUGUGAGUAUUGUGAAUUGUUCUCCAACCUCUAUUCUAGUUAUCUCAUUUCCAUUGAGACUAGCAAAAGCACUUGCUUGAGAUUCUGUGUUCAAGUUUCAACUUUAGCAACUCACUUUUCCUUUAGGCCUCCGUUUUCAACGUUUCCCAAACUUGGUCCGUUGUGUGAGCUGGCUGAUAAAAGUUCCAGGUAACCUUCCUUGUUCUCAAGGUCCAUUUUCCAGGAAAAUCUGAGUCAUGGUGCUGGGGAGGACACUUAAGUACAUCAGUCAAUCAGAUGAUUAUUAAAUUUAGGAAAUAGUAGAUCAACUGGAUUAACUGGAUUAAAAUGCAGAAUCCCAGGCCCCAGCCCAGACCUACUGAACCAGCAUCUGCUCUUUAACAAGAGCCCCAUGUGAUGUGUGGGACAGAAAACUUUGUGAAGCACAGGGCUAGACAGUCUCUAAAGUCUUCUGCAGAUCAGAAACGCAGCAAUUCUGAGGUUUUCUUCAAUUUUCUAAUGUUAUUUCCAGCUCUUUCCCCUCUCUUCUUUCCUUGAUAUGCUGAGGAAAACUUUCUCUGUGAUAAGCAGAGUAGGUGUCUUGUUCUGUGAAUUUCUAAUGUCUCUGCAAGGGCUUCAUAUGUUGAAGGAAGUUGGGACUCAGGGGGUUAACUGCAAAACACAUUACCAUAGGACAGCUGCCACGGCAUCACAUUCUAAAAUCUGAUAAAUGAAAAAUGGGCAUGGUAUCAAAUUUAAUCACAUUUGUAUUCAGAUGUUGUUGAGAGCAGACACUGAUUUAUGAACUAGCAACAGACACCAGAUUUCCUGCCUAUGUUAUAUACAUAUGAAUGGGUGGACGGAUGGAUAGAUAAACAGACAGUGAAAUUAUGUUGCAAAUUACAUGGCACCAGACCUGUUUAUAACCUAGAUCUCAUCAAACUAAUAUUAAAAACUACUACAGAUAUAUUUUUUUUUCCUGGGCAGUAGCUGGUGGUCUUACUUUUACCCUGAAAAACAGACUUCUUUCAAAGGAUUCUCUUUCUUAAUUUGUGCAGCAUUGAAAAUGCUUCUGCUUUGCUCAGUAGAUAGCAUUAUCAUAUUUAUAUACAGAAAAAUGUUCUUUAUGGGAUGGAAAAGGAUAAAGGGAUGUUCAAACCAUUGCUGCGUUCUGUUGCGCACCCUCCCACUCCCUGACAACUCCGUUAAAACAUCAACAGUACAAGGGGCCACUGUAUAUUUCUGGGAUUACACACCAAGAUCUAGGCUUUUAGAGGACCUGUGAAGGGCUGAGGUGGAAGAGGAGAACAUUCAACAUGGAUUAAUAAUAAAAAAAUUAAGCAACUUUCCUCUCAGUUCAGCAAAGUAGGGAGAUCUAGGUUCAGUGUUUCUUGAUAUUUACAGUUUUGAAGGUAAAUCACUUGGCUGAUGAGGUUCUCUAUUUUGGGGCAGAUACUGCUUAAUAUCACCAGAGACAUCUAGCCAUCUUCGCAGUAUGUUUUCUUUACUACGCCUUUUCCUUGUAGAGACUUCCUGUAUUUGGCAAAUUUAAUCAAAUUUUAUUUAUCUUUCAGAGGUCACAUAGGUACAUUCACUCACUUUCAACCAAUAUUUCUUAAGACUGUGUUACGCUGUGCACAGGAGACAAGACACAGAAAUAGAUGACCCAUGAUUUGUCUUCUUUUUAUUUAAAAAAAAAAAAGAAGAAGAAGCUCUGUAUCUGUGAACAAGUCAGAUAGACACAGAUGAUUUCAGCAUAAUUAGGAGGAAUCACUGAGCUCAGCCCAGGGAGCUAGACUAGCUCAGAGGAGUACCUGAUUCACACUAGGAAGGUAUUGGCACAGGCUUCCUGGAAGUGGAGACACUGAAUGGAAUUCUAAAGGAUGUGAUACCUUCUACAUGUUCUUUAAGAUACAGGAUGGUGGGUGUUCUUAAUGGAGAAGUAGGAGAAAAGGGUUUUCCUGGUGUGAGAAACAAUGGAGAUUAGAAAAAGCAUGAUAAUCAGAGGACAAUUCACAGCUGUGGUAUGACUGGAAUAAAACCAUCCAUCCUCCAGAUGCCAGGAGGCAGGCACAACAGUCACUGUCCUGUGGCCUUCAUUCCUUGGGGAAAACACCACAAUGGUCAUCACCUGAACAAAUGGAGUGGGGAGAUGUGGAAGUGAAAGAAAGGGAACGCUGAAGAAGACAGUAUCAGAGACCCAGUAGCAAUGAAACCUCAAUUGGCACAGAGGAUUUGGGAAGAAGGACCCAGAUUUGAGUAUUUUCAGCUCUAGGUGCUGAAGAUGUUCAUGACCAAAUAGACAUGGUAGUUGAGGGAAAGAGGGUUUUAGGGAGCCCUUCUCCUUGGAAUUCUAGGUAAGUGAUGAUGCUAUUUACUAAGAGAAGACAUCCAGAAGAAGGAGCUUGCAUUGUCUUUAUUUUGAUUUUGUUUUGGUGGAAUUGAGAAUACAAUGUAUUAUUACUGUGGAGGAGGUGGAAAUAAUGCCAACUUAAACCUUCCCUCCCCUAGGGAGCUCUCCCUAACAAUCUGGGCUGGAAAGAGUGUGUUCCUUUAGGAAACAAAGCAUGUAUUACCCAUUGAGAAUCCAUUAUUACUUUGAAUUUUUAGUUUUGUUUUCAUGUGUUGCUUUAUCUUCUUAAUUAAAUUAUCUCUUCUAGGGAGAAGACAUCUUACUCUUAUUGGAUCAUGCACAGUGCCUGAAGCAUUCUGUUGCAUGUAGAAGGUAUUGGUGGAUGUUUGUUAAUUGAUUUGUUGAAUUUUUUUUCACUGAACACAUUCCCAAGAAACAGCCAAACCCAGAGUAAGGAAACCAUCUGGCAAGAACCGCUCAAGAGAAUGCUUCUUGGCUCUCACAUCUUAAAGGUCUUAAAAUAGCUAACAUUUAUUGAACAUUUUACUAUAUGCCAGGUAUUAUGGGCUAAGCCCAUUAUAUAUGUGAUCUCAUAUAAUUAAUCUUCAAAACAAUCUUGUGUCAUAAAUGCUACAAAUACUUUGAUUUUAAAACUGAUGAAAAUGAGAUUCAGGGAGAUUGUCAUUUUAUUUGCAGUCAGUAAAUUGCAGAUGUAAGAUUCAAAACCAGACUUCACAUCUACCGACUUCAGUGACCCUGAAAUUUGUUCACAGAGAGCAUUUAACAUAACUGUCUUCAUCAUCUCCUUCUCUACAUUAAAAAUUAUGGGUAAGUCUCUUGCUUUUCCAGUCUUCAUUGCUUUUCUAGUCUUAGAAAUAUUAUACAAAGACAAGAAAUACAAGAGACUUACUCAUAGCUAUGUGUCCAGAGCUAGAGUUAGAAUUCGCAUCUAGAUCUUGAGACAGGUAACUUCUUACUCUACUGCGUUGGUUUUAAGACAAAUCUGUUGAGGCAAACUUUUUGCUGGGCACUGUAGGCAACAGAAAGAAACUGAGGGUCUGCUAUUUGUCUCCAGAGGCCUUACAAACUGGUAGAAGAUGCAUAACAGAAGAGCUUAUGAAGUUAAAGAUGACAGCAUAGCAGCACUGGUGAGAUCCUUUUAGACAUAACAUGGUAGGAAGGACUGUUUGACAAAGUGAAUGCCUGUCUUUCAGAAUAUACAGGGAGGUGUGAUGUACCCAUUAUCACAAGCAGAUGGAAUCCCUAUAGAGUCGGAUCUCAUCUACAUAUCACCUAUUAUAUGUAGUUAUUGAUGGAUAAAUACUUCAACAACUAAAGGCAGAAAGAGAGCAGGUGGGCAUAGGAGUUAGUAAACAUCUCACUGCUAUUGUUUUUCAAGGUGAAGCUAGAGAAGAAGAUUCCUAAGAUGUAGGAGGAAAUUAUCAUACUGAGUAAGAGGGUGCAAUUUUGGAAGGUUGGACUUGAUGACCUCUCCAGCAUUAAGGGUGAAUGAUUCUUUCUAGGGAUUUGGUUUGUUGCCAGAGAGCCUGGCUACCUGCUAUUUAGUUGCUUUGUUGAUUAGCAAAUUUCCUCUGAAAUAUUCCUCACAUUCAUGAGCCCCCUUCCUGGGGUAGGUGGACCCAGAAAAUGUUUUCUCCCAUUUUAGUUGGCCAUGUGUUUGAAACUCAGAUGGACCUAAGUCUUUCAGCAUCAUUGUCACUACUGUAUGUCUAUCCAUAAAAAGAAGGCAUAAGACUCUCUGUAGUAUCACGAAGUUAGCCAUUUGGGAUUGCAAAAACUUUCCUCUUUCCAUUGGAGAGAAAUAGUUUAGAUUAGAUGGUGGAGCCCCUACCACAUCUCCCAAAAUUUAAAUUAUAACAUGAACAGUAAUUUAGGUCUGAUUUUAAUAUUUUGUCAUUCUUAAACCUAAUAAAAGCUACAUCUUCCUAAAGACCCUCCUAAUUUUUAUUAUGGACAGUUCACAAAGACGUUAUUGGUGAUUCAAUCUUGAGUCAUGAAAAGUCAACCUUGAGCCACAAAAAGUCAACCUUGAGCCAAGCAGAUUGGAGAGUCAUACAUGCCAUUCCUGGGACCAUCAAAAAUGGCAGAGGUCACACAAAAAGGCAAAACUUUUAAGAGGUGUUUUAAACGUCGUAUGGGCCAAAGAGAAGCUGGAUUUCCUAUUGGAGUCACCUGUAACACACGUGUGACGAAAUUGGCCUGUGAGGACAAGGCAGUGAGCAGAGAGGACAGCAGUCCUUAUGAGAUCAAGCUCUAAGGUGAGGUUGCAGGAUCUGAAGGCCAGCUCCCCUGCUUGCUCACUGUAUGACUUUAGGCAAGUCAUUUUACUUCUGAAUGAUUCAUAUUGGAAGUAAAAUAUAUGAUUGGUUAAAAUAGUUUCUAAAUUUAUUAUGGGGAUUAAAUGGACCAAUAUACUCGAAGCUUUUCAGACAGAGUCUGGCGCAAAGUAAGCACUUAGAAAAAUGUAAGCUUUUAUUAUAAUAGAAACUAUUAAUAUAAUAAUUAUUCCUGGGUGUAAAAUUAGGGAAAAUCAUUAGAAUAGAAAGGAAGAAAGAAACAAGAAUCAGAAUAGGAGCAAGAGAGAUUUCAAGGAAGGGGUAAGGAUGUUUGGGAGAUACUAGUUUUCCCCUAGACUGGUAUCCAAACUAGAUUUUAAAAUCUUGAGAUAGGGCCUUGUCUUUUAUGAUGGGCAGGAUUUCUUUGCUCUUAGCAUUGAUAAAAUGUGGCAUGACCAGUGGCUGGUUGAAUGAUGUAUAGCUCCAGCUGGAAUCAAGAUCACAGUAUGCUGACCUCUGAACUUUGUAAGAUUGCAAUGAUUACUCUUCUUCCACUCAGAGGCUCAUUAGUGUCAAGCCAUGGUUGUCCCUGUUUUGAUGAGUAUUCACCACCUGGCUACAUGUGACCUGGCUUCUGGUUAUAACCAUACCAGCCUGCAUGACUUCCCAUAGCAUGCUGCCAUCAGACACUGCUCUCCCAUCUUCUGCAACAUGAGAUAACUUUUCACAAUUGGGGCAUGAGGGGCAGUGCUAGUGGAUACAACAUUUUAUGUCAAAUCAGGGGUUCUGCAAAAUGCCCCUGGUUAAUUUAGUCCAGAGUCUAAUGUAAAAAGGUAUCUGAGUAGCACAAAAUUGCAUAUAUAAUUGUUUUCCAUCAUUAUUUUAUAACUUUCCUCAAUAUCAUCCAGGUAUCCUAGACACAUUUGGAGAAUUCACCUGAGCUACAGGAUGUGGUAAGAUUUGGUGAGCAGGUGGUGAUUCUUACAGAAUCCCUCACACAUUCAUGCACAGAACUUCCCCAGCACACUCCCAGGUAGGACCACUUCCCUCUUCAUUGUGCAAAGAUUCACCACUGGUUCCAGCCUUCUCUGGCACUUUUAAGAUAUGCAUCAGGUUUUAUUCAUCUCUGAUUUUCUAGCCUCUGGCAGACUACCUGGUGUACCAGAGGCUUUGUAAGUAAUAGUUAAAUAAAGAGAAAACAUUAAAGCAACAUUGAAGGAAGAGGGUUAACCAGACUACAGAUUUGAGACCUCUAUCUCAGAGGGCCAACAGUCAUGUUGAUGUUUUCAUGCUUUCUUGGAUAUAAAAGUCACACUACACUUUCCCUCUCGGUGACCAUGUACAAAGGUUCAUUUAUAAUUAAUAGACAAAGUCUUUAAUAAAGCAAACCAAAUGUCAUCUUUCCUUUUUUCUGCAAUAUGAAGUCAUUAUUUCCACUGGAUGAAAGCACUUUUGACCUAUAAAAAUAAAAAAGUGAGAUGUUAGGUGACUUCAGUGCAUAAAAAUACUGUUUCUUGUUACCAAUAAUAUAUACUCAACCAUCGUCUUCAUCUUUAUCAUGGUCUCCUGGGGCAAACUGAAUCUGAGUUAGCAGGGUUUAAUAAAAGUUAUUCUGAACAUCUGGGUCAUUGUAGAGACACAUAUUGAAAAUUGAAACACUUUAUAUGUCAACAGAUGUUCUAGAAGAAGCCUGUCUAUUUUCUCUUAUUCAUUUAUGAGUCCAAGGAGAGGAAAAGUUCUUUGUUCAUCUCUCCAUCCAUGAUAUUAUGCUCCAUGCCUGAACCUCACCUAAUGCCUACUAUGUUUUAC
rnacentral:lncRNA from 10 species